rnacentral:rRNA from 1 species
GUGCCAGCAGCCGCGGUAAUACGGAGGGUGCGAGCGUUGUUCGGAAUUACUGGGCGUAAAGCGCGUGCAGGCGGUCGAUUAAGUCCGGUGUGAAAGCCCGGGGCUCACCCCCGGAAGUGCGCUGGAAACUAAUCAACUAGAGUACGGGAGAGGGAAGUGGAAUUCCUGGUGUAGCGGUGAAAUGCGUAGAUAUCAGGAGGAACACCGGCGGCGAAGGCGGCUUCCUGGACCGAUACUGACGCUGAGACGCGAAAGCGUGGGGAGCAAACAGGAUUAGAUACCCCAGUAGUCC